UCCCUAGUAGCUCAGAUGGUAAAACAUCUGCCUGAAAUGCAGGAGACCCAGGUUCAAUCCCUGGGUCGGAAA
rnacentral:tRNA from 1 species